CUGCCCCCGGGCGGAGAAAGGGGCCAGGUGACCCAGCCCCGCCUAUCCUCCAAGAGCUUCUUCUGGCCCAGGUGUAGUGGGUCUCCUGAACCUGGCUCCCAAGGCCAAGGCCACCCUCUGCCCGGCCCUCUAUGCUUCUCCAGCCUCAUCAGCCCCUCCUGGGGGACUCCGGGUCGACACGCUCAGUGACUUGCAGUUCCCGGCCUGCCAGGCUGCCAUCAUUCUGGCCGCAGACACGAAGACAUGUCUCUCCUUGAGAGCUCAUCAGGUCUCAUCCUGGCAGUCACUUGCACCUCCAAAUGCCAGAGUCGCUGGCUGGCUGGGAUCCCCCCCUCCCCCGUGUUGGAGGCACUUCUGCGAGUACCUGCCAGCUGCCCCUCCAAAACUGAGCUCCCCAGGCAGGGCCUGGGUCCGCUUAUGGCUGCCGGAGUACCCUCCACCCCUCCCAACACCACUCUGUGACACAGCCUAGGUACCCGGUUUAUUUUGCAUUGUAUGGAUGGGUAGAAGAGGGUGCAUCUUUGAGUCAAAUCUGGCUGGCUGUUAGGAGUUUCCAGGCAUCUGAGCCCUGAGGGGGUUAGGGGACAGCAGGAUUUGCAAGCUGAGGGACAACUCUGAGCAGGAAGGGCCUGCAGACAGAACCCAGUGCUGCCCAGAGUGGCAACAGGUGGGUGGGGCUGCACCAGUGCCACAGAACAGGCUGUGACUGAUCCCUCAACCUUUAUUACCCUGGGUGUGCGUGGGCUGUGGGAGCCCAGCUCCUGUCCCCAGGGCACCUUAAAGGAACUUCAGGAUCUGCAACUCCAAGUUCAAAGGGAAAUAAUUGUCCAGUCGGAGGGGUUCAGCUGUCUUGGUGCAUGCUUGCCCCACAGCUGCCUCUCACUCCGCCUGGGGCCCUCAUCCAUAGAUCCUGCUCCUCGUCUCAUUCCGGGUGCAAGAGCCAGGAGGUGAGAGCAAUGUGCAGUCCAGAACCAGGAAGUGUGGACUUUCCACCCCGCAUUAGCCCUUCCCUAGGGCUGGUAACCUACCUAAUUUCUUCCCACUGGCUUCUUGCCAUGAGUUGUACAUGGAUUUAAUAAACCAUGUUAUGGAAGCAUGUUAA